GUGUCAGCCGCCGCGGUAAUACGGGGGGGGUAAGCGUUGUUCGGAAUUACUGGGCGUAAAGGGCUCGUAGGCGGCCAACUAAGUCAGACGUGAAAUCCCUCAGCUUAACUGGGGAACUGCGUCUGAUACUGGAUGGCUUGGAUUCGGGAGAGGAAUGCGGAAUUCCAGGUGUAGCGGUGAAAUGCGUAGAUAUCUGGAGGAACACCGGUGGCGAAGGCGGCAUUCUGGACCGACAUUGACGCUGAGGAGCGAAAGCCAGGGGAGCAAACGGGAUUAGAUACCCCAGUAGUCC
rnacentral:rRNA from 1 species